rnacentral:rRNA from 1 species
UUCUUACGAAGGUAUGCUUAAAGAGGGGCUUGCGCCACAUUAGUUAGUUGGUAGAGUAAAAGCCUACCAAGACGAUGAUGUGUAGCUGGACUGAGAGGUUGAACAGCCACAUUGGGACUGAGACACGGCCCAAACUCCUACGGGAGGCAGCAGUAGGGAAUUUUCGGCAAUGGAGGAAACUCUGACCGAGCAACGCCGCGUGAACGAUGAAGUAUUUCGGUAUGUAAAGUUCUUUUAUUGAAGAAGAAAAAGUAGUGGAAAAACUAUAUUGACGUUAUUCAAUGAAUAAGCCCCGGCUAACUAUGUGCCAGCAGCCGCGGUAAGACAUAGGGGGCGAGCGUUAUCCGGAAUUAUUGGGCGUAAAGGGUGCGUAGGCUGUUAGAUAAGUCUAUAAUUUAAUUUCAGUGCUUAACGCUGUCUUGUUAUAGAAACUGUCUUGACUAGAGUGAGAUAGAGGCAAGCGGAAUUCCAUGUGUAGCGGUAAAAUGUGUAAAUAUAUGGAGGAACACCAGAAGCGUAGGCGGCUUGCUGGGUCUUUACUGACGCUGAGGCACGAAAGCGUGGGUAGCAAACAGGAUUAGAUACCCUGGUAGUCCACGCCGUAAACGAUGAGUACUAAGUGUCGGGGUAAAACUCGGUACUGAAGUUAACACAUUAAGUACUCCGCCUGAGUAGUACGUACGCAAGUAUGAAACUUAAAGGAAUUGACGGGACUCCGCACAAGCGGUGGAUCAUGUUGUUUAAUUCGAAGAUACACGAAAAAUCUUACCAGGUCUUGACAUACUCUGCAAAGCUAUAGAAAUAUAGUGGAGGUUAUCAGGGAUACAGGUGGUGCAUGGUUGUCGUCAGUUCGUGUCGUGAGAUGUUAGGUUAAGUCCUAAAACGAACGCAACCCUUGUCGUUAAUUGCCAGCACAUAAUGGUGGGGACUUUAACGAGACUGCCAAUUAAACAUUGGAGGAAGGUGAGGAUUACGUCAAAUCAUCAUGCCCCUUAUGAUCUGGGCUACAAACGUGAUACAAUGGCUGUGACAAAGAGUAGCUGAAACGCGAGUUUUUAGCCAAUCUCAAAAAAGCAGUCUCAGUUCGGAUUGAAGUCUGUAACUCGACUUCAUGAAGUUGGAAUCGCUAGUAAUCGCGAAUCAGCAUGUCGCGGUGAAUACGUUCUCGGGGUUUGUACACACCGCCCGUCAAACCACGAAAGUUAGCAAUGCCCGAAAGCAGUAGCUUAACUUCGCAAGAAGAGGGAACUGUCUAAGGUAGGGUUGA